UACGUAGGUGACCAGCGUUGUCCGGAUUUACUGGGCGUAAAGAGCGCGCAGGCGGUCGUUCAAGUCGAGUGUGAAAGCCCCCGGCUCAACUGGGGAGGGUCAUUCGAUACUGAUCGACUUGAAGGCAGGAGAGGGAAGCGGAAUUCCCGGUGUAGUGGUGAAAUGCGUAGAUAUCCGGAGGAACACCAGCGGCGAAGGCGGCUUUCUGGUCUGAUACUGACGCUGAGGCGCGAAAGCGUGGGGAGCGAUCCGG
rnacentral:rRNA from 1 species